rnacentral:rRNA from 1 species
AACGAACGCUGGCGGCAGGCUUAACACAUGCAAGUCGAACGCUCGUAGCAAUACGUCAGUGGCAGACGGGUAAGCAACGCGUGGGAACGUACCUUUUGGUUCGGAACAACACAGGGAAACUUGUGCUAAUACCGGAUAAGCCCUUACGGGGAAAGAUUUAUCGCCGAAAGAUCGGCCCGCGUCUGAUUAGCUAGUUGGUGAGGUAAUGGCUCACCAAGGCGACGAUCAGUAGCUGGUCUGAGAGGAUGAUCAGCCACACUGGGACUGAGACACGGCCCAGACUCCUACGGGAGGCAGCAGUGGGGAAUAUUGGACAAUGGGGGCAACCCUGAUCCAGCCAUGCCGCGUGAGUGAUGAAGGCCCUAGGGUUGUAAAGCUCUUUUGUGCGGGAAGAUAAUGACGGUACCGCAAGAAUAAGCCCCGGCUAACUUCGUG